rnacentral:rRNA from 1 species
ACCUACGGGGCGCAGCAGUCGAGAAUCAUUCACAAUGGGGGAAACCCUGAUGCAGCGACGCCGCGUGAAGGAAGAAGUAUUUCGGUAUGUAAACUUCUAUCCGCAGGGAAGAAAAUGACGGUACCUGACUAAGAAGCCCCGGCUAACUACGUGCCAGCAGCCGCGGUAAUACGUAGGGGGCAAGCGUUAUCCGGAUUUACUGGGUGUAAAGGGAGCGUAGGCGGUGCAGCAAGUCAGAAGUGAAAGCCCGGGGCUCAACUCCGGGACUGCUUUUGAAACUGUUGAACUAGAUUGCAG